GCCUCCUCCCUGAGCCCCAAGCACGAACAAGGUACUGUGCUGCACACCUGAAAGUCACCCAGCUACUCCUUGUAAAGCCAAAUCCCCUUUUGAAAUUGAGCAGUUGACCAAAUUAACUAGGAAACCCUUGACGGCAAGUUACUUCGGGACUGAUAGAAUCACCACAAAUUGAGAUGAGGCAUUCAAGCGGGCUGGACACACUGACACUCGAGCAGUAGGAUCCCUUGAACUGAAGAAAUGAAUAGGAAGAUACAUGCAAUUUAAGAAGAACAUUCAUCAUUAGUACUUGAAGAGACUUGCCUGGUUGGGGCAGAACAGGAUCUGCUAUAGUGCAUGUUACUUGACUGCUCACUGUACGACUUCAAUAAAAUCAAGACGUAGCGCAUGGCAGGGAGAUAAAGUGUUGAGAAAAAGGACGACGAUGUAAAGGGCAGAUGAUAGGGGAUUACUCAAUAAGUAUGCGGAGCUGCUAUAAAGUUUCCUCCUUUCUGUAUAGUUAUUUCACUAUCCACCUAAAUGUCAUCCCAUGUAUAUGUAGGAAACUAAUUUUGUGUUGCUAAAUUUUCUGUAUAUAUUUAAUAUUAUUCAGUGUUAAACUAAUAAUGAUCGAAACAAUGCUAGACUUACAUGUUGAUUCAUCAUUUGUAGACUUUUGGUUACAACGGAUAGAUAUGAGCAGUUUAGCACUAUUCUUGCUUAUAUAUCAAAAAAUAUUAUGAUCAGCAGGCUAAAUCUACCACACGGGUCGUUAGCUCUGUUACCGUAACAUUGCACCAUCCUAACACGCGAGGAAAAUAAUUUCACAAGAUUCUCA